GUAGGAUAUGGUGACAUCUACCCGACGACGAUCCUGGGAAAAGUUGUUGGUGGCGUAUGUUGUAUAUGUGGUGUGCUAGUUAUUGCGCUUCCAAUUCCAAUCAUUGUCAAUAAU
rfam:Octopus bimaculoides Scaffold1253_contig_16, whole genome shotgun sequence.